rnacentral:rRNA from 1 species
UGGGGAAUCUUGGACAAUGGGCGCAAGCCUGAUCCAGCCAUGCCGCGUGAGUGAUGAAGGCCUUAGGGUUGUAAAGCUCUUUUUGCCGGGGACGAUAAUGACGGUACCCGGAGAAUAAGUCCCGGCUAACUUCGUGCCAGCAGCCGCGGUAAUACGAAGGGGACUAGCGUUGUUCGGAAUCACUGGGCGUAAAGCGCACGUAGGCGGAUGUGUCAGUCAGGGGUGAAAUCCCGGAGCUCAACUUCGGAACUGCCCUUGAUACAGCACGUCUUGAGUCCGAUAGAGGUGGGUGGAAUUCCUAGUGUAGAGGUGAAAUUCGUAGAUAUUAGGAAGAACACCGGUGGCGAAGGCGGCCCACUGGAUCGGUACUGACGCUGAGGUGCGAAAGCGUGGGGAGCAAACAGGAUUAGAUACCCAGGUAGUCCCUGAGCGGGCUGGCAAGGCGCAU